UACGGAGGGAGCUAGCGUUGUUCGGAAUUACUGGGCGUAAAGCGCACGUAGGCGGCUUUCUAAGUCAGGGGUGAAAGCCCGGGGCUCAACCCCGGAAUUGCCUUUAAGACUGCAUCGCUUGAAUCCAGGAGAGGUGAGUGGAAUUCCGAGUGUAGAGGUGAAAUUCGUAGAUAUUCGGAAGAACACCAGUGGCGAAGGCGGCUCACUGGACUGGUAUUGACGCUGAGGUGCGAAAGCGUGGGGAGCAAACAGG
rnacentral:rRNA from 1 species